ensembl:lncRNA
GUGUUCUACAGGGGUUCUACGGGGUUCUAUGGGGUUCUAUGGGGUUCUACAGGUGUUCUACGGUGUUCUACAGGUGUUCUACGGGGGUUCUACGGGGUUCUACAGGUGUUCUACAGUGGUUCUACAGGUGUUCUUUGAGUGGUUAGAAGUUCUAUGUGGAACUUUAUUAUAGGGUUCUAUAACAGAUUAAUAAUAAUUCAUUAUAUAGCUUUACUGUAAUUGACUCCAAAUCCCACUUUACUAAACCCUCUUAUUUUAAACAUUUAAUAAAUCUGUAAAUUAUCUAGCAAACUCUAAUCAUUUCUCCACACCAAAGUCUAAAUCAACUGAUAUUAGCUAAUCUAAUGUUACAACCGUCUGCGUAACGUACCCAGUCUGCUUCUAGUUGAUCCCAAAUUCCUGUCAUUUUUAAAAGCACACCCUCAUGUUCCCCUUCAUCUUCCCACAUCUUUAUCCCAAACUCUCACUGCUGUAUAUAACUCGUUAUAUAUCACCUCAUUAAAGGUUUAAAUAAUGAACAUUGUGCAGCUCGGUUUAUCGACACAAAAUCCCUCUACACGCUUCUUCUUCCUCCUGCAGACCUCAGUGUGUGGUGUAAUGGUGAAUCCGCAGGUGUCCCUCAGGGCUCCAUCUUACAUCCCGCCCUGUUCUCUAUGAUAUAACCGCUGAUAUCUGUGUGGUAAGUGCUUAUGAGGUGUAUUUCUGUGUGCUGUUCAUUUCAGUUCAUUCAUUUACCCAAAUUCUGCUCUAAUUCACGUAUCCAGACACAUCCACUCGCAAACUUCUUAUCCAACCUCCUAUACCUCAUCUAAUACGCUGUAAACCUCCUAAAAUCCUCGAAAUUGGAAUUUAAAUCCUUAAUGUAACUCAACAAACUUUUAUUCACCCCAUUAAUAACCUCUACACUAAUGUAUCUCCCCCGGCCUCCAAUUUAACAGCUGCUCGUCUAAUGAUCAAAUCUCCUCACGUCUAAUCAUCUCUAAUCAUUCCAUUUAUGUAAACACCCCAAAAUUCCUCCUUAUAAUCACACACUGUAAUACACACACUGAAAUACACACACUGUAAUACACACACUGUACUACACACACACACACACAUUGUACUACACACACACACUGUACUACACACACUGUAAUACACACACUGUAAUACACACACACACACUGUACUACACACACACACUGUACUACACACACUGUAAUACACACACACAGUACAACACACACUGUAAUACACACACUGUAAUACACACACUGUAAUACACACACUGUAAUACACACACUGUAAUACACACACGCUGUACUACACACACACACACUGUACUACACACACUGUAAUACACACACAC